UCCCUGGUAGUAUAUCGGUUAGUACACGCGCCUGUCAUGUUACUGACCGCGCGAAAGCGGGGUUCGACUCCCCGCCAGGGAG